rnacentral:rRNA from 1 species
ACGAACGCUGGCGGCGUGCUUAACACAUGCAAGUCGAACGGAAAGGCCCCUUUGGGGGUACUCGAGUGGCGAACGGGUGAGUAACACGUGAGUAACCUGCCCUUGACUUCGGGAUAACUUCAGGAAACUGGGGCUAAUACCGGAUAGGAAUCCUUGCUGCAUGGUGGGGGUUGGAAAGCUUCGGCGGUUUUGGAUGGACUCGCGGCUUAUCAGCUUGUUGGUGGGGUAGUGGCUUACCAAGGCUUUGACGGGUAGCCGGCCUGAGAGGGCGACCGGCCACAUUGGGACUGAGAUACGGCCCAGACUCCUACGGGAGGCAGCAGUGGGGAAUAUUGCACAAUGGGCGGAAGCCUGAUGCAGCAACGCCGCGUGCGGGACGACGGCCUUCGGGUUGUAAACCGCUUUCAGCAGGGGCGAAGCUUGUGGUGACGGUACCUGCAGAAGAAGCACCGGCUAACUACGUG